GGGACCUACGGGGGGCAGCAGUGGGGGAUAUUGCACAAUGGGGGGAACCCUGAUGCAGCGACGCCGCGUGGGUGAAGAAGCGCCUCGGCGCGUAAAGCCCUGUCAGCAGGGAAGAAAAUGACGGUACCUGAAGAAGAAGCCCCGGCUAACUACGUGCCAGCAGCCGCGGUAAUACGUAGGUGGCAAGCGUUGUCCGGAUUUACUGGGUGUAAAGGGCGUGUAGCCGGGAAGGCAAGUCAGAUGUGAAAUCCGGAGGCUCAACCUCCGAAUUGCAUUUGAAACUGUUUUUCUUGAGUACUGGAGAG
rnacentral:rRNA from 1 species